rnacentral:rRNA from 1 species
CUAGCGACUUCAGAGUUUGAUCCUGGCUCAGGACGAACGCUGGCGGCGUGCCUAAUACAUGCAAGUGGAACGCAUGAUUGAUACCGGAGCUUGCUCCACCAUUAAUCAUGAGUCGCGAACGGGUGAGUAACGCGUAGGUAACCUACCUCAUAGCGGGGGAUAACUAUUGGAAACGAUAGCUAAUACCGCAUAACAGUAUUUAUCGCAUGGUAAAUGCUUGAAAGGAGCAACUGCUUCACUAUGAGAUGGACCUGCGUUGUAUUAGCUAGUUGGUGGGGUAACGGCUCACCAAGGCCUCGAUACAUAGCCGACCUGAGAGGGUGAUCGGCCACACUGGGACUGAGACACGGUCCAG